rnacentral:rRNA from 1 species
GACGAACCGUGCGAACGUUGUUCGGAAUCACUGGGUUUAAAGGGCGCGUAGGCGGGCUGUCAAGUCGGUGGUGAAAUCUUUCGGCUCAACCGGAAAAUCGCCUUCGAUACUGGCGGCCUUGAGGGAGGUAGGGGCAUGCGGAACUUCCGGUGGAGCGGUGAAAUGCGUAGAUAUCGGAAGGAGCACCUGUGGCGAAAGCGGCUCACUGGACCAUUACUGACGCUGAUGCACGAAAGUUAGGGGAGCAAACAGG